rnacentral:rRNA from 1 species
UCAUGGCUCAGGAUGAACGCUAGCUACAGGCUUAACACAUGCAAGUCGAGGGGCAGCAUGGGAGUUUGCUUGCAAACUUCCGAUGGCGACCGGCGCACGGGUGAGUAACACGUAUCCAACCUGCCGAUAACUCGGGGAUAGCCUUUCGAAAGAAAGAUUAAUAUCCGAUAGGAUAUCAAGGUCGCAUGAUCUUGAUAUUAAAGAAUUUCGGUUAUCGAUGGGGAUGCGUUCCAUUAGUUAGUUGGCGGGGUAACGGCCCACCAAGACGACGAUGGAUAGGGGUUCUGAGAGGAAGGUCCCCCACAUUGGAACUGAGACACGGUCCAAACUCUACGGGAGGCAGCAGUGAGGAAUAUUGGUCAAUGGACGAGAGUCUGAACCAGCCAAGUAGCGUGAAGGAUGACUGCCCUAUGGGUUGUAAACUUCUUUUAUAUGGGAAUAAAACAGGGUAUGCAUACCCUCUUGUAUGUACCAUAUGAAUAAGGAUCGGCUAACUCCGUGCCAGCAGCCGCGGUAAUACGGAGGAUCCGAGCGUUAUCCGGAUUUAUUGGGUUUAAAGGGAGCGUAGGUGGAUUGUUAAGUCAGUUGUGAAAGUUUGCGGCUCAACCGUAAAAUUGCAGUUGAAACUGGCAGUCUUGAGUACAGUAGAGGUGGGCGGAAUUCGUGGUGUAGCGGUGAAAUGCUUAGAUAUCACGAAGAACUCCGAUUGCGAAGGCAGCUCACUGGACUGCAACUGACACUGAUGCUCGAAAGUGUGGGUAUCAAACAGGAUUAGAUACCCUGGUAGUCCACACAGUAAACGAUGAAUACUCGCUGUUUGCGAUAUACAGUAAGCGGCCAAGCGAAAGCAUUAAGUAUUCCACCUGGGGAGUACGCCGGCAACGGUGAAACUCAAAGGAAUUGACGGGGGCCGCACAAGCGGAGGAACAUGUGGUUUAAUUCGAUGAUACGCGAGGAACCUUACCCGGGCUUAAAUUGCACCUGAAUAACGUGGAGACAUGUUAGCCGCAAGGCAGGUGUGAAGGUGCUGCAUGGUUGUCGUCAGCUCGUGCCGUGAGGUGUCGGCUUAAGUGCCAUAACGAGCGCAACCCUUAUCUUUAGUUACUAACAGGUUCUGCUGAGGACUCUAGAGAGACUGCCGUCGUAAGAUGUGAGGAAGGUGGGGAUGACGUCAAAUCAGCACGGCCCUUACGUCCGGGGCUACACACGUGUUACAAUGGGGGGUACAGAAGGCAGCUACCUGGCGACAGGAUGCUAAUCCCCAAAACCUCUCUCAGUUCGGAUCGAAGUCUGCAACCCGACUUCGUGAAGCUGGAUUCGCUAGUAAUCGCGCAUCAGCCAUGGCGCGGUGAAUACGUUCCCGGGCCUUGUACACACCGCCCGUCAAGCCAUGAAAGCCGGGGGUACCUGAAGUACAUAACCGCGAGGAGCGUCCUAGGGUAAAACUGGUAAUUGGGGCUAAGUCGUAACAAGGUAGCCGUACCGGAAGGUGCG